rnacentral:ncRNA from 1 species
UUAAAUUUGUCGCCGGAUAAAUUUAUUUAGAACGUUUGUAUUCAUACCGUAGGCCUUAGAAAGUAUGAACGCAAACGUUUUUUUAUU